rnacentral:piRNA from 1 species
UGUCAACCUUUGAAAAUCUUGUUUGGUGGA